UUUUCUUGACUUCCCGAUUCAACGGGCCAUAUCUCCCUCGUUUAUAUUCCUGUACGUUAAAAUCAAGCAUGUGAUAGUUUUCAUGUUGAUGGAAAACAUCGACUUGUCUCAUUGAGCCCUUUGUCGUUUAGGAAGCCAUCGCCUAUUUUCCAUUGGUUCUUAUGAUAAGCGCAUCUUUUUCAACCAUUUUUUGCGGAAAACUCAACGAGAGGAUUGGAACCAAGGUAAGGGCAAGACGUAAAUAUAUAUUACAACUAAUGCCUUCCUCUCACAAGCCAGGACGGUGUGUCUGAAACAUCCAGCGUCCAGAUGUUUCAGACACCGGCCGCUAUCUAGACACCAGCUGUAGGUUUUGGACGUGGCUAUAAGUGUAUUGCUACGCCCGGUGGAAUGGUAGUUCAUCAGUUUCCGCUAGUCCAUGGUGUUUUACCCAAUCCAUUCUCCACCAAUUUAAUGAGAGUGAUGGAGAAGGGAAGAGGACAAUAUGAAAUUUUCUUUUUCAUUUGAACAUCACAAGGCUCAAACUGCGUAGGCUGAGACCAGGUGAUGUAAUAACAGACUGUGUUAAUUGUCAUCGAAGAUGUUACGACAUUGUUAGUCUGUUCAAAUGCCGGGCUGUGUCAGUUGCCAGUAACACCAUCCACAUAAUCUUAACUGUAGAAUAACACAUGUUCCAUAACAAAUAAUAAAAUCAUAACACAUUUAUGAAUUAGAAUCCUAAUUUCCAACGUAAAGAGUUUUUCCUUUCAACUCUACAUUGAUUUGCUCUUGCAGUUGAGUUACCUACUGGCAGCUUGCGUUGUAAUAGGCGGUGUCGUCUGGAGUUAUUUUCAAACUCCUUCCACCAGGCAAGCGACCUAUGCACCUGUCAUCUUGAUAGGAUUUGGCAUGUCAGUUAUGUUCGUCAUGGCAAUGGCUUUGAUCACUGAACUGAUUGGAGAUAAUAAGGAUAUCAGUGGUUUGGUGAUUUCCAUUAUAGUUGUAAUCAAUAGAGUCUCCAGCGGUGGUAUUGUGAUCGGCAUACAAAGCUUUUAUCCGGAAAAAGGGUAGCUCGAACUCAAAUGAAGCGAUUAGUAAUUACGUACAACAAGUCUUUAUAAUGGCACCUGGGAUAUUAAGUCUGGUUGGAUCCUUGCUGGUUUUGUCCUUACAACCUUCAGUGUUGACCUGCAAAGCCAAAGCAGUAAAGGAGAACACGGAAAUUCAGGCAGACGAAGAUAAAUCUCCAUCCGAUGAGAUUACUCCGCAGUCUUCAUCCAAUCACACAGCAACACUAAACGUUUCCCAGGAUGUCAGCCAAAAUACUACCAUGGUUUUGAUGCAUUCUUAUCCUCAGGACACCAAAAUGUGACACAUUCAUUGUGGAUGAACAAUUUCGGUGGCUGACGUAUUUAUCCGCGACUUUUAGGUCUCAUUUGAAAAAUUAUUUGAUAUAUAGCUGUUGUUAACGUAAAUUUUAUAAUUUUUAAAGCAGCAAAGGGGGAGAACCUUCAACAAAAUUACAACAAUAGGCCGUGAUCUCUGAACUUGAAUUUAAGAUAACUUCGCUUUCGACUUCGAAUUCAAAAUUGUUUUAAAGUUAUUGAGGAUUGAUUUCUUAUAACGAUACUUGAGUAAACUCAUUUUACUUUCCUAUUACCCAGGUACAAAACGUUUUUCCAAUUUUCUUUAACAACUUUCUGCUUGCUCACAGAAUCAGAUUAUUAAAUAUAUUUAGAUCUUGGUCAGCUUGGAUGUAUGUUACACUGUAAUGUAAGGAACCUGUUCAAUUUUGGCUUAGUCCUCUGGUUAAUCAUUAUUGCCAUAUCUUUUUAUGAAUGCAUAAAUCUCGUCUUAUCUUAUAUCCAUAUCUUAUAGUAUGAAUGGCAGUGUUGUGAAAUAAAAUACUGCCGACAAUAUCUGCUUCCUUGUGAUUGGCUAAAAAUUAUAAUUGACAACACUGCAUGCACCGACAUGGGUUCGUCACGCAAUUCAGAACUUUUGUCCGAUGAAUAACCAAUCCAUUCAUUAAUCCAUCCAUCCAUCGAUCCA